CUACGCACUCCUACGGGAGGCAGCAGUGGGGAAUAUUGCACAAUGGGCGCAAGCCUGAUGCAGCCAUGCCGCGUGUAUGAAGAAGGCCUUCGGGUUGUAAAGUACUUUCAGCAGUGAGGAAGGUGGAUAUGUUAAUAGCAUAUUCAUUUGACGUUUAGCUGCAGAAGAAGCACCGGCUAACUCCGUGCCAGCAGCCGCGGUAAUACGGAGGGUGCGAGCGUUAAUCGGAAUUACUGGGCGUAAAGCGCAUGCAGGUGGUUUGUUAAGUCAGAUGUGAAAGCCCGGGGCUCAACCUCGGAAUUGCAUUUGAAACUGGCAAACUAGAGUACUGUAGAGGGGGUAGAAUUUCAGGUGUAGCGGUGAAAUGCGUAGAGAUCUGAAGGAAUACCGGUGGCGAAGGCGGCCCCCUGGACAGAUACUGACACUCAGAUGCGAAAGCGUGGGGAGCAAACAGGAUUAGAUACCCUGGUAG
rnacentral:rRNA from 1 species